UACGGGGGGGGCAAGCGUUGGUCGGAAUUACUGGGCGUAAAGGGGACGUAGGCGGCCAACUAAGUCCGACGUGAAAUCCCAAGGCUUAACCUUGGAACUGCGUCGGAUACUGGAUGGCUUGAAUUCGGGAGAGGGAUGCAGAAUUCCAGGUGUAGCGGUGAAAUGCGUAGAUAUCAUGAGGAACAUCAGUGGCGAAGGCGAAACUCUGGCAUAUUUCUGACGCUGAGACGCGAAAGCGUGGGGAGCAAACAGG
rnacentral:rRNA from 1 species